GUGUUCAGUUUGGCAGCACAUAUACUAAAGUUGGAAUGAUACAUAGGAGAUUAUCAUGGCCCCUGUGCAAGGAUGAUGCAAACUUGUGAAACAUUAAAAUAAUAAUA
ensembl:snRNA U6 U6 spliceosomal RNA